CACUACAUAACUCUUCUCUCUAUCUUCCCUCUCAAAACCCUAGCGCAGCCAUGUCUGAAGUGGAGGAUGCUUGAAGCGGAUUUUACGACGGCGGAUAAACACUAAUCAAAUGAUUCUUCUUCACUCUGAUUAUACCUUAAUCAAAUGAUUUCUUCAUUCGCCUCUCCAAGCUCUGAAACCCUAGAUUCACAACUUCAUCAACUGCUCGAUUUUGUUGGUUUAGAAAACUUCAUCAACUACUGUGAUAAUGAAUGAGAAAGGGCAGCCGAUUAUACUCUUUCAUGGCUGUUUGAUCAUCGAGAACUGUUUUAUUUGCAAUUUUUUACUACCGAUACCCUAAUUUGUUCAUCGGAGGAUAUGAUUGAAGAUAACAUUUAAUUUGAUACGAUACAUGCAUCUGUUGGUUCUGCCGAUCAGCAUGGAAAUGAGUACGGGGACGAUACGAGUACAGGGAACGGCAAAACUCAAAAAUUCAAGAUACGGGUACGGCAAAGAUUCAAUUUUAGUCUGAAAGAAGGUGAUGAAGAGGAGCAUGAAGGGCUGGGAAGAUGAACGUAUUUGAAGAUACCCCCAAUUUUCUUUUUGAUUUCACUACUGCUGGAAUCGAAAAUUACCACCGUCAGAAUAUUUGUUUUCAUGAUUUAAUCCUUUUUACAGAAUAUCUCAAUCUCCGCGUCCAGCUGAUCGUUCUAUGUCACCAACUCGGUCCCUUUUUUUAUCAUUACUAAAGCUUUUUAAGGAGGUACACGCUCCGGAUCGGUUAGCAAAUCCCUUUCUAAUUCCAGAAGUCAUUCAAGGUAUUGGAUGUCAGAGGCGAGCUAUGGAAUUGAAAUGGCUAAAGUACAGGUAGUGAGCAAUGGUAUAUGGUAGAAGGCGGAUUUCAAAACAUGAAGGCCAAUAGUGGUACAUCGGAAACCUCUGUCGUUUCAGAUGAUAUUUGAUCUUCUACUAGAUGAGAUUUCAUCGCCAUAAUUUGUGUGUUUGCUCUUGUGAUUGAGACUACCAGUUUUAAUUGCACCAACCCGUCUCCAGGUUGGUGAGACGUUCAAACCGUCGUGGCUCUCGUGUUAAUUCCUUUGAUAAUCUUGAUAAGAUUAGGCAAGGGAUGCAUAGCAAUUAAUGAUAAGGUAAACAAUGCAUCGUUUCAAGACGUAGCUCAUGCAACAACGUUAGCUUAAUUUGCUCAUGAGUAGCUCAGAAGUAGCUGAAUUGAAAAGGCUAUCGGAAGAUAUCAGAAAUUACUCCUUCGGCAUGGGCUAGGAUAAGUAAAAAUGGUUGCUGGACGCUUCGGGUCAAUUCUCGGUGCGGAUAGGAGACACGUGAAGGGGCUUUAUUUUUCUUACGGUGCGGGGUCUCGAUUUACUAAGGGAAAUGUUUUGACAAUUCGAAGGAUAUGCAUCUUCAAAUGGACUUGACUAUCUUUAAAUUAUAUUUCCACUUUGUCACUAAGUUUAUGUAACAUGGCACUUUGGUCAUAUUAAAAGAAGUUUACAACACAAUAUGCGCUGAAGCCAAGUCAGUGUUACUCUUGAUGCAAUAUUUAACUCGUAGGUAUGGUUUGAUUUUAAUUUUAAAUA
rnacentral:lncRNA from 1 species